GGCCACAGCCAUGUCACCCUGCAGCUCAAGACCGGUUACUCGCUGAAGCUAAGCAGGGCUGAGCCUGGUCAGUACCUGGAUGGGAGACCACUAGGGAACACUAGGUUGCUGUUGGAA
rnacentral:rRNA from 1 species